AGCGGAGGUAACCCAACAAGAUAGAGGGACAACUCCUCAGUGAGGAUUCCCCAGGGCUAUCACUUCUUCUGUUGAUCUGUCUUGCUUCUGGAGAUGGGGUC